rnacentral:tRNA from 1 species
GCGGCCGUAGUCUAGCCUGGAUUAGGAUACCAGCCUUCCACGCUGGCGACCCGGGUUCAAAUCCCGGCGGCCGCACCA